CCUACGGGAGGCAGCAGUGGGGAAUAUUGGACAAUGGGCGAAAGCCUGAUCCAGCGACGCCGCGUGGGUGAAGAAGGCCUUCGGGUUGUAAAGCCCUUUAAGCCGGGACGAAAAAGCUACACCUAACACGUGUGGCCUUGACGGUACCGGAAGAAUAAGCACCGGCUAACUCUGUGCCAGCAGCCGCGGUAAU
rnacentral:rRNA from 1 species